rnacentral:lncRNA from 1 species
GCCGAGAUUGCAGCCUCCGCCCGGCCGCCACCCCGUCUGGGAGGUGAGGAGCGUCUCUGCCUGGCCGCCCAGAUGUUAGGAGCCCCUCUGCCUGGCUGCCCAGUCUGGAAAGUGAGGAGCGUCUCUGCCCGGCCACCAUCCCAUCUAGGAAGUGAGGAGCGCCUCUUCCCGGCCGCCAUCCCAUCUAGGAAGUGGGGAGCGUCUCUGCCCGGCCGGCCAUCGUCUGAGAUGUGGGGAGUGCCUUUGCCCCGCCGCCCCGUCUGGGAUGUGAGGAGCGCCUCUGCCCGGUCGCGACCCCGUCUGGGAGGUGAGGAGUGUCUCUGCCCAGCCGCCCCAUCUGAGAAGGGAGGAGACCCUCCGCCUGGCAACCGCCCCGUCUGAGAAGUGAGGAGACCCUCCGCCUGGCAGCCGCCCCGUCUGGGAAGUGAGGAGCCCCUCCGCCCGGCAGCCACCCCAUCUGGGAAGUGAGGAGCGUCUCCACCCGGCAGCCACCCCGUCCGGGAGGGAGGUGGGGGGGUCAGCCCCCCGCCCGGCCAGCCGCCCCGUCCGGGAGGGAGGUGGGGGGGUCAGCCCCCCGCCCGGCCAGCCGCCUCGUCCGGGAGGUGAGGGGCGCCUGUGCCCGGCCGCCCCUACUGGGAAGUGAGGAGCCCCUCUGCCUGGCCAGCCACCCCAUCCGGGAGGGAGGUGGGGGGGUCAGCCCCCCGCCCGGCCAGCCACCCCAUCCGGGAGGGAGGUGGGGGGGUCAGCCCCCCGCCUGGCCAGCCGCCCCGUCCGGGAGGGAGGUGGGGGGGUCAGCCCCCCGCCCGGCCAGCCGCCCCACCCGGGAGGUGAGGGGUGCCUCUGCCCGGCCGCCCCUACUGGGAAGUGAGGAGCCCCUCUGCCCGGCCACCACCCCAUCUGGGAGGUGUGCCCAACAGCUCAUUGAGAACGGGCCAUGAUGACAAUGGUGGUUUUGUGGAAUAGAAAGUGGGGAAAGGUGGGGAAAAGAUUGAGAAAUCGGAUGGUUGCCGUGUCUGUGUGGAAAGAAGUAGACAUGGGAGACUUUUCAUUUUGUUCUGUACUAAGAAAAAUUCUUCUGCCUGGGGAUCCUGUUGAUCUGUGACCUUACCCCGCAACCCUGUGCUCUCUGAAACAUGUGCUGUGCCCACUCAGGGUUAAAUGGAUUAAGGGCAGUGCAAGAUGUGCUUUGUUAAACAGAUGCUUGAAGGCAGCAUGCUCGUUAAGAGUCAUCACCACUCCCUAAUCUCAAGUACCCAGGGACACAAACACUGCGGAAGGCCUCAGGGUCCUCUGCCUAGGAAAACCAGAGACCUUUGUUCACUUGUUUAUCUGCUGACCUUCCCUCCACUAUUGUCCUAUGAC